rnacentral:sRNA from 1 species
UAUGGCCUCCUUUGUUCCCAUUUCAGGGUUCCACAAACUGUCUUGCAUGUGUGUGUCUGGUUACCCCGACCUUCUGUGAAGAUAAAGAAAGCUGGGCCUGUCGAAGGAUGACAGGGAUGUGCUGCCAGGUUGCUAUAGAAACCCAGGCUCUGCCUCUUGCACCUUGAGGGGGUGGGAGGGGCUGGUCUCCCUCCAGGCUGAACCCCACUUCCUCGGCAGGACCCCAGUCUCAGCAGCCUCCUGAUUUCAUAACCAGGCCGGACCACGUGCAAUAGGGUGGAAACCAAACUGCUCCAUGCCACGUUAUUUAAAAGAAAGGCAGAGUUUGUGGUGGCUUUUUUUUUUUUUGGAUUGUUUGUAAUUUUUUUUAAUAAAAGUAUUUUGGAAG